CGAGUGGACCGGGCGGUCGCGGCUCGGGCGCCAGCUCGGGUCGAGGAAAGUCCGGACUCCAUAGGGCAGGACGCUGGGGAAAGUCCCAGGCGGGGCGACCCGUGGAAAGUGCAGCAGAGAGCAGACCGCCUCGGGAGACCGAGGUAAGGGUGAAAGGGUGAGGUAAGAGCUCACCAGCGCAGCGGGCGACCGGUGCGGCUAGGCAAACCCCGUCCGGAGCAAGACCAAGCAGGAGGCAUGGGCGGCCCGUCCGGCGCCUCCGGGUAGGUCGCACGAGGCGAGCGGUAACGCUCGUCCCAGAUGGAUGGCCACCCCCGCGGCCGUGAGGCCGCGGGACAGGAUCCGGCUUACAGGCCGACUCGAGAU
rnacentral:RNase_P_RNA from 1 species